GGGGAAUCUUCCGCAAUGGACGAAAGUCUGACGGAGCAACGCCGCGUGAGUGAUGACGGCCUUCGGGUUGUAAAGCUCUGUUAAUCGGGACGAAAGGUCUUCUUGUGAAUAGUUAGAAGAAUUGACGGUACCGGAAUAGAAAGCCACGGCUAACUACGUGCCAGCAGCCGCGGUAAUACGUAGGUGGCAAGCGUUGUCCGGAAUUAUUGGGCGUAAAGCGCGCGCAGGCGGAUCAGUCAGUCUGUCUUAAAAGUUCGGGGCUUAACCCCGUGAUGGGAUGGAAACUGCUGAUCUAGAGUAUCGGAGAGGAAAGUGGAAUUCCUAGUGUAGCGGUGAAAUGCGUAGAUAUUAGGAAGAACACCAGUGGCGAAGGCGACUUUCUGGACGAAAACUGACGCUGAGGCGCGAAAGCCAGGGGAGCGAACGGGAUUAGAUACCCCGGUAGUCCUGGCCGUAAACGAUGGGUACUAGGUGUAGGAGGUAUCGACCCCUUCUGUGCCGGAGUUAACGCAAUAAGUACCCCGCCUGGGGAGUACGACCGCAAGGUUG
rnacentral:rRNA from 1 species